UGGCGAACGGGUGAGUAACACGUGAAUAACCUACCGAAAAGCAGGGGAUAACAUUUGGAAACAGAUGCUAAUACCGUAUAAAACGUGCUGUCGCAUGACAAAACGUUAAAAGGUCCGUUUGGACCACUUUUGAUGGAUUCGCGGUGCAUUAGUUAGUUGGUGGGGUAAAGGCCUACCAAGACGAUGAUGCAUAGCCGAGUUGAGAGACUGACCGGCCACAUUGGGACUGAGACACGGCCCAA
rnacentral:rRNA from 1 species